rnacentral:lncRNA from 10 species
UCCAUGGAAUUUCAGGAAUGGAAAGAGCAUCAAAGAAAAUGCAAACACAGAAACAAGAAUGACAGGAUGGUGGAAACGAAGUGAGGAACGCAUAAUUCAUUUGCGGAGAUGUCUGUGAGACGGUGACAUUUCAGCAGAAACCAGAACCAUGUAAAGUGUAAAUCACAUGGAGCUCUGGGCAAGUGUGUCCAUCUGGUCAGAGGGAAUAGCAAUGCUCCACAUCCCCUGGCUUCUGGGCCUUUGUGGUUGGCUGUGUACUAAUGGUGGCUCACUCCCAGCUUCUGCACUGGAUUUUUUCUCUGCCUAUUUCAGGUCAGUGCUUUGGAAAGUCUUCCGUCUCUCCUGCAAUCUCCACUUUUCCCUCUCUACUGCUAAUAGCAUAAAAGCAUGCUAUCACUUUUCUCAUCUUUGAAAAUGCUCCCUUUGAGCUCAUAUCAUCCUCCAGCUGUUGCAUCAUUUCUAGGCUUCCCUUCUGUCAAAAUUCCUUGAAAACACUAUUAUACUUGCUGUGUCCAGUAUCACUCUUCAUCUCUGUAAUCUUGUCUGAUCAGGCUUCUGGCCUCCCGCUCCAUGAAAUCACUCUUUAUAAGGUUACCAUGAGCUCCACACUGCUUAGGUCAAGGGUCAGUCCUUGUCCUCAGCUGUUGAUGAUAGAUCACUUUCUGCUCUUCAGAGCAGCUGGCUUCUGGAUACUUUAUUCCUGAGUCUUCUCCUACUUCACUCAACACUCUUUCUUGGCUUUCAUUGCUGGUGUCUCUUUCCCUUGACUUCUAAACAUUGAAUGUUCCAGGGUUGAGCUGUCAUUCUAUCUCUACAUGGAUUCUGAUGUCUUCCAAAUUUUGUAUUUCCAACCCAGACCUCUUCUCUGAAUGCCAGUCUCCCAUAGGCAACUACCUAUUCUUUAGGUCAUCAGCACCACCCAUGUCAUCUGCCCCCAAACUCUUUUCUCUGUCACCAUCACCUUGGUCCAAAUCACCAUAGUUUCUCAUCUAGUUAAUUUCAGUAGCUUACUAACUGGUCUCUCUGUCUCUACCUUUGUC